GAUACCGAAUCCGUCGGGAUAUUUUUUAGUGAAUAAACAAUGUGUGUUCACUUCUGCUUCCUUGAACAAAAAAAAAAAAAAAAAUCCCCACUAGCAAAUUGAUCAACCAUUCUCGUUUAACAUUCAGAUUUUCUCCAAUUAUUUCUCACCGAUGAGAGCUAAUGUGAGGGUGUUUCCUAAAUAAUUUGUUACUCAUUCUUCUAUUAAUUUAAUUAUUUAGUAUAUAUUUUCUACAGUAGACACGCGAGACGAUAUGUCCAACGGGCUUUACUGUGAGUCCAUUUUGACACG